UAAGAGUAGCACUUAACAACAUUUCAGUGCAUCAUCAACAACUCAUCUGAGCUAAACAUCUUAAGCUAAACAAUUUGGAUCUGGUCCAAACAGUGGUAGAAACAUGCUAGCCAGCCACGCUUGUUAUGGGGUACACUAUAAAUUUAAUCAUUUUGAUCUCUGUUGCUGGACUAAAAGCUGCAAUCUACACUGUAACUUUAAACUGCUGAUUUAACAGAGUGAAUAAACUUUGGGGCCUUGUAUAAGCUACAUGAGUUUUAUUUUGACCUGUGAGUCAUGGAAAGUGACUCAUCCAAGAACAAAGUUAUGCAACUGGAAAUGAGCAUAAGAGGUCUGCUCUUUUUGAAAUCAACUAACAGCUCUCUUCGCAGUCAUUUAGGGCCUGGGUUGUGUUAUCCUGAAAUAGCCGCUCAGAGGAGUUACAGAGAUAGCGGCCAGAUGACAAGGCUUGUUUCUAGAAGGAUUUGUUAUGGGUUUGUUUGGCCACCUCAACUAAGCAGCCCUGCAAAUUUCAGACUUUGUAAGAUCAUAGUCUGCUGGGCUCAGCCAGCACGUCUGAAGUUUGGACUUUACAAUUCAGUCAUACAAUAACCACGGUACAGAAAUCCCGAAGAGCACAUAGCAGCAAGUCGAAAUGUGCUCUUUGAGUCAAGCUGUUAAGCUCCCGCUGAUCGAUCGGCCUUUCCUUUAACUGGCACUCUCACACCUACAGAUACAGACCUACAUGCAAGCACACACAUGCCAAAAUGAUGCAGCAAUAUAUGGAAGUGUACUAAGACCAUACAUUAGGAUAUUUCCACCGUAUUUACUUCCUUCCUCUCUGCAUCCUGCUUGCGUCACAAGAAAUGAGUUAGCUGUAAGGGCAUGAAGUUAAUGUUUCAAAAAAAAGGAGUGAGAAAUGCAGAUGGAAGUACAGAGCGAUAAUUUCAGUUCAGCAAACUACACUUGAAUGUUUUGAUCUUUUUCUAUUAAGAUAUUAGAGCUGCCUUCUUUCAGAUGUUGCCUUUGGUGAUCUCAAUAAGAAAGUCGGGAUUAUUUGUCCUGCUGCCGCAGCAUUUUGAAGGUCAGCCAUUUUGCACGUCCUUACUGUUUUUUUCCCUGAUGCAGCAAAGUAUAGUGAUGGUAAACAUGUGUAUCUCUUUUUUUUUUAGCCGACUGCGCUUAUCAGUGGGAGUGCAGCGUGCUGAUACUGUUAGUUUCCAAGCUGUGGCACCCCCAUUCGGAUCUGCCUUUAAACAGUUGGCCCUCUGUCUCGCCUACUUUGUAUUCCAAUGACGGUAAGGUCAAACCUCAUUUGAUGUAAGAGGGGUGAGAAAAUGUGUUGGAGGAAAAGAAACCCUUUGCCUGUGGAAAAAUUUCGGAAUUUGUGCUGCCACGGGCCUCGGCAACAGGCCGUCUCUGGAAACAGACUCGAGACCAAAGGGACGGCUGGAUGGCUCUUCAAGUGCGGCCCUGAAUUGCUCCAUCAAAAUAAAGACCUGGGCUUUUUUUUCCACCCAUGGCAAAGUGGAAAGAUGACCUUUCUGGACCCCUCAGAGGUUACUCUCACCUCCCACAUGGUCAUCUGCUGCUGAGCUAAUGACAUUUCAAGCUUCCUGGAUUCGGUGAGCAGGAGGAGCAGCCAGGAAGCUAUGACACAUUACCAACCCAGCAUCAAGUAGAGAGGGUAAGGAGUACAGACUUGAGCAUCGAGUGGCUAAAGAGACAGCUAUUUCCCUCAGGAGUUGCUGCAGAACAAAACGGAGACCAUUCUCUGUAAACCCUAGAGGUGGCUGGGUGGAAAUAUCCCAUGAGAUCAGCAGUUUAUGAAACACUCAGGACCAACAACUCUCUUCAACCACCAUUCUCCUCCAUUCUCAUGCUCAGGUUCAACUUCAGCAGCCCGUCUUGACCAUGGCUGCAUGCCUAAAUGCAUUAAGUUGCGAGCACGUGAUUGGCCAACUGGAUAUUUGCACGAGCAGUUGAAAGGGUGUACCUAAAGAAGUGGCUGAUGAGUACGUAAAUGGAGAAAAUUUGAAAGAGAAAGACUACAUCAAGGUUUGAAAUGAAGGCGAUGAGAAGAGAAGGAUGUCACCAUAUACUGGAACUCUACUGUUAUGGGUCGUUUACAGUAUUAACAUGUGUUUGUUUUUACCACAGUAUUUCACUGCUAAAUGAAACACGAUAAACUAAGCAAAUAAAACAUACUACAAAUGAGUCAUUUCACAUUUAUGAUGGAUAUGAAAAAAAUCCCAGUAACGGUAUUUCUGUCAUGUCUAUAAUCUGUCAGUCAAAUCAUCCAUGACUUUGUUUAUUGCGUUUUGUCUUUUUUGGCAAAAAGUGACGGAGUUUGUAGCCUUAACUAUUCAAACUGCAAUCGUACACUAAUUUUUCAGAUUAUCAUACAUUAUAUACAUUAAUGAUAACAAUGCUGAAGUUCUAGUUAUCAUCAGUACAGUCAGCCCUGUUUAAAUAGCAGCACCCUCACGAACAUGCUGCCUAACAUUUGCAGCAUCGCUGCACGAGAGCCAACGCAACGCACUCUCUGCUGAAACUCUGUUCAUUUUUGCCGCUCUCCUCCUGAGCUCCUCCUUAAUGAAACAAUCCAAGUAUUAUAAGCAAGGUUUCUCAUUCUUCCUUGAAAACCUAAAUCUACUCCUAUAUUCUUUUUAUUAUCAGUUUUGUGUUAUUUAUAUACACAGUAUAAAUAACAGAGCGCCUCAGUGGGAGACAGGGAUUUCUUUCAUCUCAACUCAAGUUACUUCAAAGAUUUUUGCGGUUUAUUUUCUUCUCCUCUUCUCUGUCUUUGUUUUAGUGGCAAAAACCCCCAAAACAU